AUGGUGAUCAAUGUGGGUUCAGAACGGCAUAACGAGGCCAGGUAUUCGGGUUUCGGAUGUCUGUAUUCGUCGACCGCCCUUGGUGCGGUGGCAGCUAGGGUUCGGAAUUGGGAGCUUGCGAGUGACCUUGAUAUAAGAGGAUCAGAUCCCGUGCAUCAUCUUUCUGACCCAUUAGACAUGAUCAGAUCCCGUGCAUCAUCUUUUGGAUCCCAGUCAGAACCAAAUCUAGCACGUGCAGGCCAUCAUCUUUUGGAUCCCAUUCAGAACUAG